GACAGAGGUGCCGAGCGUUAGGCGGAAUCACUGGGCUUAAAGCGUGGGUAGGCGGGCCGUUAAGUGUCUUGUGAAAUCCCCCGGCUCAACCGGGGAAUUGCUGGGCAUACUGGCGGUCUUGAGCAAUCUAGGGGCAGAUGGAACAAGUGGUGGAGCGGUGAAAUGCGUAGAUAUCAUUUGGAACGCCAAUGGUGAAAACAGCUCGCUGGGGGUGCACUGACACUGAGACACGAAAGCCAGGGGAGCGAACGGG
rnacentral:rRNA from 1 species